CAGUCACCAGGAAUAGGUAGGCCACCUAGCUGUGUCUAGUUGGCCUUCUUGGAUCUCAGCCAUCCUCACAACUUCUUAAGAACUCAUUCAUGCAGAAAAACUGCAAAAUGUGCUGUUUACCUGGCAGCAACAGUGCGAGUACUAUGGCCAGCAGAGGUCUCAGUCAGGAACAGAUGCUCACCUCGUGCGUGUGGGUGAGCCAGCCUCCAGAGCUCCCCCUCAUCCUGGCUCUCCCCGCCCCCACCAGCGCUUGCUGCUUGUCCCAGCCAGCUUCAUCACCGCGCUGCUCAAGGCUCCCUCCUCUGCA